GACGUAGGGCGCGAGCGUUGUCCGGAUUUAUUGGGCGUAAAGAGCGUGUAGGCGGCCUGACAGGUCUGCUGUGAAAACUCGAGGCUCAACCUCGAGAUGUCGGCGGAAACCGUCUGGCUAGAGUCCGGAAGAGGAGAGUGGAAUUCCUGGUGUAGCGGUGAAAUGCGCAGAUAUCAGGAGGAACACCGGUGGCGAAGGCGGGUCUCUGGGCCGAUACUGACACUGAGACGCGAAAGCGUGGGGAGCGAACAGG
rnacentral:rRNA from 1 species